rnacentral:misc_RNA from 1 species
CCGUAACGCGGCGGUUCAGUAGCCCAAAAAACUGCUGGCCGCCACACGCGUUUAUCACCCUUGAAUUUGAGUACUUCUGUUUCCUCGGCGGGUUCGCCCGCCAACGAGGACCCCUUGAACUCUUUGUAGUAGUAGUAUUUGUCUGAAAACAAAGUUAAAUAAUUA